rnacentral:rRNA from 1 species
GAGUUUGAUCCUGGCUCAGGAUGAACGUUGGCGGCGUGCCUGAGAUAUGCAAGUCGAACGCAGGAUGUCGCAAGACAUCUUCAGUGGCGGACGGCUGAGUAACACGUAGGAAUCUACCCCUAUCUCAAGAAUAGCCAGCUGAAAGGUUGGGUAAUACUUGAUGAUUCAGAUACCAUUAGGUAUCUGAUAAAGAACGUAACUGUUCGGAUAGGGAUGAGCCUGCGGCCUAUCAGGUAGUUGGUAGGGUAAUGGCCUACCAAGCCUACGACGGGUAGCUGGCCUGAGAGGGUGGUCAGCCAGAGGGGGACUGAGACACGGCCCCCACUCCUACGGGAGGCAGCAAUCAGGAAUAGUCGGCAAUGGGCGAAAGCCUGACCGCGCGACGCCGCGUGUGGGAUGAAGGUCGAAAGAUCGUAAACCACUGUAGUAGGGGAGGAAGCCCGCCGAUUCGGCGGGUUGACAGUACCCUACUAGAAAGGGGCCGCUAACUGCGUGCCAGAAGCGUCGGUAAUACGUGGGCCCCAAACGUUAUCCGGUUUUACUGGGCGUAAAGGGUCGUGUAGGCGUUCUAUCAAGUUUUAUUUCAAAUCCUACAGCUUAACUGUAGACAGGAAUAAAAUACUGAUAGGAUUGAGUUUUCUUUAGGGGAAUCGGAACUCAAGGAGGAGUAGUGAAAUGCGUUGAUACCUUGGGGAACACCAGUGGCGAAGGCGGAUUCCUGGAAGAAAACUGACGCUGAGACACGAAAGCUAGGGGAGCGAAGCAGAUUAGAGACCUGCGUAGUCCUAGCCGUAAACGAA